rnacentral:miRNA from 1 species
ACAAUUCAGAAGCGGAUUGGAGGG